rnacentral:tRNA from 1 species
CCUGGUGGCUCAGACGGUAAAGAAUCUGCCUGCAAUGCAGGAGAUCCAGGUUCAAUCCCUGGGUCAGGA